GUCUUCUUGAUUUUUAUAAGAAGUCUGACCUGCCCAGUGAAUAAAUUUUUUAACGGCCGCGGUAUUUUGACCGUGCAAAGGUAGCAUAAUCAUUAGUCUUUUAAUAGAAGGCUGGCAUGAAUGGUUUGACGAGGUGCUGACUGUCUCAUUUAAUUUUUUGUUAGAAUUUAAUUUUUUAGUUAGAAAGCUAAAAUAAAUUUGGAAGACGAGAAGACCCUAUAGAGCUUUAUAAUAUGAUGGUUACUUAUAUUUGGUUUGAUUUAUUUUUGGUAUCCGGGGUAUUAUUUUGUUGGGGUGACAAAAAUAUAUAUUCAACUUUUUUAUCUAUAAUACAUUGAUAUAUGAUUUAUAUGAUCCGUUUUUAGCGAUUGUUAGUCUAAGUUACCUUAGGGAUAACAGCGUAAUCUUCCUUCAGAGUUCAAAUUUACAGGAAGGCUUGCGACCUCGAUGUUGGAUUAAGAUUAUAGUUAGGCGCAGCCGCUUAAUUUAUGGGUCUGUUCGACCUUUAAUUUCUUACAUGAUCUGAGUUCAAACCGG
rnacentral:rRNA from 1 species